rnacentral:rRNA from 1 species
AUUGAACGCUGGCGGCAGGCCUAACACAUGCCAGUCGAGCGGAUGAAGGGAGCUUGCUCCUGGAUUCAGCGGCGGACGGGUGAGUAAUGCCUAGGAAUCUGCCUGGUAGUGGGGGAUAACGCCCGGAAACGGGCGCUAAUACCGCAUACGUCCUGAGGGAGAAAGUGGGGGAUCUUCGGACCUCACGCUAUCAGAUGAGCCUAGGUCGGAUUAGCUAGUUGGUGGGGUAAAGGCCUACCAAGGCGACGAUCCGUAACUGGUCUGAGAGGAUGAUCAGUCACACUGGAACUGAGACACGGUCCAGACUCCUACGGGAGGCAGCAGUGGGGAAUAUUGGACAAUGGGCGAAAGCCUGAUCCAGCCAUGCCGCGUGUGUGAAGAAGGUCUUCGGAUUGUAAAGCACUUUAAGUUGGGAGGAAGGGCAGUAAGUUAAUACCUUGCUGUUUUGACGUUACCAACAGAAUAAGCACCGGCUAACUUCGUG